rnacentral:rRNA from 1 species
UCAUUAACACGACCCGCCAGUGGAAAAGGGACUUGGGCGAUCUGGCCUGCUGCUGAGGUGGCGGCAGUCGUCCUGCCCUGCCCGCCUACCCUCUCCGUGUACCUCUCCCUGUUGCUUCCCCGGGACGGCGGACCUGUCCGCCCGGGCGACGCAUGCCCCGCACCCUGCCAGCAGGGCGGUUGGGGCGUCUGCGCCCGCGUCGCCUAGGGAAGGUACCCACCACACUCCUUCUUGAACAAGCUGUCUGACACGGGCCCAAGGCCCCCAGGUAUACAAAUACUUGAAAACUUUCAACAACGGAUCUCUUGGUUCUCGCAUCGAUGAAGAACGCAGCGAAAUGCGAUAAGUAAUGUGAAUUGCAGAAUUCAGUGAAUCAUCGAAUCUUUGAACGCACAUUGCGCCCUCUGGUAUUCCUCAGGGCAUGCCUGUUCGAGCGUCACAGAAAACCCCUACUCACAGAAUGUGUGGUGAUGGCGUUUGGUGGGUCCCUUCCGGUCCACCGCGCCCAAAUCAAUGGGCGGACAACUGAUCUCACCAGCUGACUUGGUAAGAUGUAUCCUGUUCGACGAAGCGUUGAACAGAUAUCAGUCAGCAGUGAGGUUAUGUCCUGCCCCCUCAUUUGGACCCCCCGAGCAAUUGUCCCCUGGGUUGACCUCGGAUCAGGCMGGGAUACCCGCUGAACUUAAGCAUAUCAAUAAGCGGAGGAAAA